rnacentral:tRNA from 1 species
UGUAGCUCAAUUGAAGGAGCGCUUGCUUGCGGAGCAAGAGGAUGCAGGUUUGAGUCUUGUUGAGGA